UCUUGGCACCUGGCAUCGCGGGCACUCAGAGCCACUCAGCCUGCCGCCUGCAGCUGGAGAGUCAGAGGGCAGGCCCGGGAGGGCAGCGGAGCGGCCAGGGCACAGGCACCCACCAGGAGAGCAGUGCGUCCUCUGCUGAGGUGGUAGUAACGAAGGGAAGCUUUCGGUUUUCCACGAACUGCUACACUCUCUGGAUCUGUUAGGCUGAGUGUGGAUUCAAAUAUGGCUUUCAUGCUGAUGACCAGCCAAACCCCAGAAGCAGAGCCCCUGCAGACCUACUGCUGACCACAGGUGCACAAAGAAGCCUGGGUGAGGCCAGAAGAACCAUCCAGACACCUGCUCCCUUUGGCCCAACCCAAGUGGAAGCCAGAGGGUGAGAAGCUGCAUGAUGGGAACUGCGUCUGGCCGUCCGGAGCUGGAAACAGGACAGAGAAGGGCAGACUGCACAGGAAGGACAAAGUGAAUAACCAGAACACAGGCCCAUGCAAUCUCUUUCUAACGCGCUCAUUUUUUCACUGUGACUCACAGAGGGGUGCCAACCUCUAUCCCAGUGCUAGGUCCUGUGCCUUCCGCCUUGGCCCUGUAGCCUCCGGGCCCCCAUGAGGGGAGAGGACUAGACCAGACCAGCAUAGCCCUGCAUGCCUGCCCUGGGGGUUUCUCCCCUCUUCCCCUGAGCAACAAGCUUGAAGAAACGUCCAUAAACUUGGUUUGGCCUCGGCCACCUUGGCAUAUAUCUCUCGGGAGCAAAUAAGACAACAGCCAAGGAAAUACCUGUGAACAGAAAGGACAUGUAUUAUCUCUCCUGAGAGGUUGAGAGGGGGGCUUCAGGGUUGGCUCAACCGCUUGACCCUAUUCCCACUGAGUGGUUUCUCCCUGCUUCUCCCUUCCCCAGCCCCUGGCAGCCACCAAUGUGUGCUGUCUCUACAGACUCACCUAUUGUGGUUAUUUCACAUAAAAGGAAACCUACAACGUGACCUUUUGUGUCUGGUUUCCUUCAGUUACCAUAAUGCUUUUGCGAUCAGGAUUUCAUUCCUUUGCUCCGGCUGUGGGAUAUUAAACAAUUUGUCUGGCCUUUGUCCCAGGGGAUGAGCUUCUAAAGCGCUGGGGAUCCUGAGUGAAGAAUGUCUUUGUUAUUUAAAUGAGGCCUCUGAAUCUCCUAGAAAACUUCAAGACCAAAAGGCGGUGUGGUGGGCGGGGCUGCUGUGUUUGUGACCACUGUCCUAAGCUUAGCAAAGCUUCAAAUAUUUAUUGAAGACUGGGUGGAAAACCAUCCAGCUCUUAAUAAAUCAACUCAAUAAAAAAGAGGGUUGGAAGUGACACUUGAAGAUUUUCCUCCAUCUUUUAUUUUCCCCUUUAUGGAAAAAAGAAACCACUGCAUUCUCAAAUUUGUUAUUGGCACCUGUGAAAAACCCUGGAAAAUAAAUUUAAAAUGGAAAUCCUGCUCUAUUCACACUGUUAUGUAACUUGAUUUUUCAGACAUAUGUGAU